rnacentral:rRNA from 1 species
CGCCACGCCCGCUCAAGAACUACGAAAGGAAUUGGACGGGGCCCGCACAAGCGGUGGAGUAUGUGGUUUAAUCGAUGCAACGCGAAGAACCUUACCUGGUCUUGACAUCCCGGAGACCCUUAGGAAACUAGGGGGUGCUUCCAUCUGGAAGAAUCUGGAGACAGGUGCUGCAUGGCUGUCGUCAGCUCGUGUCGUGAGAUGUUGGGUUAAGUCCCGCAACGAGCGCAACCCUUGCCUUUAGUUGCCAGCAGUUCGGCUGGGCACUCUAAAGGGACUGCCGGUGUUAAACCGGAGGAAGGUGGGGAUGACGUCAAGUCCUCAUGGCCUUUAUGACCAGGGCUACACACGUACUACAAUGGCCGAUACAAAGGGCAGCGACACUGCGAGGUGAAGCCAAUCCCGUAAAAUCGGUCUCAGUCCGGAUUGGAGUCUGCAACUCGACUCCAUGAAGUUGGAAUCGCUAGUAAUCGUGGAUCAGCAUGCCACGGUGAAUACGUUCCCGGGCCUU